rnacentral:rRNA from 1 species
GAUGAACGCUGGCGGCGUGCCUAAUACAUGCAAGUCGAGCGAACAGACGAGGAGCUUGCUCCUCUGACGUUAGCGGCGGACGGGUGAGUAACACGUGGAUAACCUACCUAUAAGACUGGGAUAACUUCGGGAAACCGGAGCUAAUACCGGAUAAUAUAUUGAACCGCAUGGUUCAAUAGUGAAAGACGGUUUUGCUGUCACUUAUAGAUGGAUCCGCGCCGCAUUAGCUAGUUGGUAAGGUAACGGCUUACCAAGGCAACGAUGCGUAGCCGACCUGAGAGGGGGAUCGGCCACACUGGAACUGAGACACGGUCCAGACGCCUACGGGAGGCAGCAGUAGGGAAUCUUCCGCAAUGGGCGAAAGCCUGACGGAGCAACGCCGCGUGAGUGAUGAAGGUCUUCGGAUCGUAAAACUCUGUUAUUAGGGAAGAACAAAUGUGUAAGUAACUAUGCACGUCUUGACGGUACCUAAUCAGAAAGCCACGGCUAACUACGUG